UGACAAAUGGAUGUGCUGCUAGGGAAGGUGUUUUCAGGGCAAGGUAAACAGACCUAAUUCCUAAUCUCUGUCAGCAUCGCCAUGGAGAACAACUGGUGCUGGUGUGGUCAGAGGAAAUCUUUAAACAGGUGUACAAGUUUCAUCAACGGCACUGUUAGCCUGUGCCAGGGACUGUCUAUGCUGCUCCAAUGGUCAGAGAUGGAUCUGCGUUGCCAGCAGAUGAAUGCAUUGGGAUCAUUCCAUGAACCUGCUCGUUGUUCAUCUAGAGUCAACCAAAGAGGAAAUAAGAAAAUGUUGACUGGUCACAGGAUUUCAGUUCUCUGAAGAGCUCUGCUAUCUUAUGCCUUUGGAUCUCUACAGAUGGUGUUCCUUUAGCUGAAUGUGGCUUGCCUUGUCCCCUCCAUUGCUGACCUGAGAAAUCUUCCUGCACUUCAAGUUUUGUUUCAAACAUUCCUUCCCAUUUCUGUGAUACCUCCCCAAUUUCCUAGGCUAACAGAGACUCCUGUCUGUGCUCUUUGUUUGUUCACCCUCUCUCUCCUCCUCCCUCUAUGUGUGUGUUUGUGUACAUAUGUGUGUGUAUGUGUGUGUGUGUGCAUGCUUAUAUACAUGUAUAUAUGUAUGUAUUUAAUAGGAAUGAUUUUCUUUCUGAAAUGGGAUUAUUUGUAGAGCUGUCUAUUAUAUUGUGAGACACUUACAGGGGGGUUCUGGGUCUUUUAAUCCCUUCUAGCAUUUUGAACCAUAUUUUGCCCAGUUGUUGGUUGAAUUAGUAAAUGCAAGAAUAGAUCAAAGCUUUGAGAAUGCUAGGAUGGAAGGGACAUUUAGGCAAAAAUAGCCAUCUCAGGGGAUA
ensembl:lncRNA